rnacentral:rRNA from 1 species
UAGGGAAGCUUCGGCAAUGGACGAAAGUCUGACCGAGCAACGCCGCGUGAGUGAAGAAGGUUUUCGGAUCGUAAAACUCUGUUGUUAGAGAAGAACAAGGACGUUAGUAACUGAAUGUCCACUGAAGGUAUCUAACCAGAAAGCUACGGCUAACUACGUGCCAGCAGCCGCGGUAAUACGUAGGUGGCAAGCGUUGUCCGGAUUUAUUGGGCGUAAAGCGAGCGCAGGCGGUUUCUUAAGUCUGAUGUGAAAGCCCCCGGCUCAACCGGGGAGGGUCAUUGGAAACUGGGCGACUUGAGUGCAGAAUAGGAGAGUCGAAUUCCAUCUGUAUCGUUGAAAUGCGUAGAUAUAUGGAGGAACACCAGUGGCGAAGGCGGCUCUCUGGUCUGUAACUGACGCUGAGGCUCGAAAGCGUGGGUAGCAAACCGG